UACAGAGGGUGCGAGCGUUGUCCGGAAUCACUGGGCGUAAGGGCGCGUAGGUGGCGACGCAAGUCAGUGGUGAAAGCUCGACGCUCAACGUCGAGUCGGCCACUGAUACUGCAUUGCUGGAGCACUGUAGGGCAGGCGGAAUCCGGGUGUAGCGGUGGAAUGCGUAGAGAUCCGGAGGAAGACCGGUGGCGAAGGCGGCCUGCUGGGCAGUUACUGACACUGAUGCGCGACAGCGUGGGGAGCAACAGG
rnacentral:rRNA from 1 species